GAUGAACGCUGGCGGCGUGCCUAAUACAUGCAAGUCGAGCGAACAGACGAGGAGCUUGCUCCUUUGACGUUAGCGGCGGACGGGUGAGUAACACGUAGGUAACCUACCUAUAAGACUGGGAUAACUUCGGGAAACCGGAGCUAAUACCGGAUAAUAUUUCGAACCGCAUGGUUCGAUAGUGAAAGAUGGCUUUGCUAUCACUUAUAGAUGGACCUGCGCCGUAUUAGCUAGUUGGUAAGGUAACGGCUUACCAAGGCAACGAUACGUAGCCGACCUGAGAGGGUGAUCGGCUACACUGGAACUGAGACACGGUCCAGACUCCUACGGGAGGCAGCAGUAGGGAAUCUUCCGCAAUGGGCGAAAGCCUGACGGAGCAACGCCGCGUGAGUGAUGAAGGUCUUCGGAUCGUAAAACUCUGUUAUUAGGGAAGAACAAACGUGUAAGUAACUGUGCACGUCUUGACGGUACCUAAUCAGAAAGCCACGGCUAACUACGUG
rnacentral:rRNA from 1 species